rnacentral:rRNA from 1 species
AUUGAACGCUGGCGGCAGGCCUAACACAUGCAAGUCGAGCGGGUGAAGGGAGCUUGCUCCUGGAUUCAGCGGCGGACGGGUGAGUAAUGCCUAGGAAUCUGCCUGGUAGUGGGGGAUAACGUCCGGAAACGGGCGCUAAUACCGCAUACGUCCUGAGGGAGAAAGUGGGGGAUCUUCGGACCUCACGCUAUCAGAUGAGCCUAGGUCGGAUUAGCUAGUUGGUGGGGUAAAGGCCUACCAAGGCGACGAUCCGUAACUGGUCUGAGAGGAUGAUCAGUCACACUGGAACUGAGACACGGUCCAGACUCCUACGGGAGGCAGCAGUGGGGAAUAUUGGACAAAGGGCGAAAGCCUGAUCCAGCCAUGCCGCGUGUGUGAAGAAGGUCUUCGGAUUGUAAAGCACUUUAAGUUGGGAGGAAGGGCAGUAAGUUAAUACCUUGCUGUUUUGACGUUACCAACAGAAUAAGCACCGGCUAACUUCGUG